rnacentral:piRNA from 1 species
AGGGAAUUGUACAAAAGGCUCUGCUGC